rnacentral:lncRNA from 1 species
AUGUCCACAGACCAGGUCGCUGUUCACCUGCGGGAAAAACGAACCUUUUGGCGGUCGAGCAGAAGCUCCGAUUGUUCCAACGUGACCAGAGAGACAAAGGACGCAGAAGUCUGGAAGUUUAAACUGACCUCGGCAAACACAAAUCCGGUGUCGAAAGGGUGGGAGACACUGCCGCUCUUGAUGGCCGCGAUGGAGGCGGGGCCACAGCGGAAAUACCCUGCGAAGAAGUCGCCGUGUUUAACAUCUCCACCGGUGGUAAUCCUAAUCCAGGGCAGCGGGCGGCAGCCUACCGUCGCUGGUCUCCUGAGGUGUGGAGUCCACCACCUGCCACCCUUCAAAACCCUUCCCCAGGUGCCUACGAACCAGAUGGAAUCCCUGGUCUCCGCUCUGUCUGGCGUUCCAUCGGGCUUGAAGAUCAGGUCCGUCUUCAGGUUCCCAGUGUUGUCGUGA